UGGGGAAUAUUGCACAAUGGGCGCAAGCCUGAUGCAGCAACGCCGCGUGAGGGACGACGGCCUUCGGGUUGUAAACCUCUUUUAGUAGGGAAGAAGCGAAAGUGACGGUACCUGCAGAAAAAGCACCGGCUAACUACGUGCCAGCAGCCGCGGUAAUACGUAGGGUGCGAGCGUUGUCCGGAAUUAUUGGGCGUAAAGAGCUCGUAGGCGGUCUGUCGCGUCUGCUGUGAAAACCCGAGGCUCAACCUCGGGCCUGCAGUGGGUACGGGCAGACUAGAGUGCGGUAGGGGAGAAUGGAAUUCCUGGUGUAGCGGUGGAAUGCGCAGAUAUCAGGAGGAACACCGAUGGCGAAGGCAGUUCUCUGGGCCGUAACUGACGCUGAGGAGCGAAAGCGUGGGGAGCGAACAGGAUUAGAUACCCUGGGUAGUCCACGCCGUAAACGUUGGGCGCUAGAUGUGGGGACCAUUCCACGGUUUCCGUGUC
rnacentral:rRNA from 1 species